rnacentral:rRNA from 1 species
CUCGUGUCGUGAGAUGUUCGGUUAAGUCCGGCAACGAGCGCAACCCACACCCCUAGUUGCCAGCAUUUGGUUGGGCACUCUAGGGGAACUGCCCGUGAUAAGCGGGAGGAAGGUGUGGAUGACGUCAAGUCCUCAUGGCCCUUACGGGUUGGGCUACACACGUGCUACAAUGGUGCCUACAGUGGGUUAAUCCCCAAAAGGCAUCUCAGUUCGGAUUGGGGUCUGCAACUCGACCCCAUGAAGUCGGAAUCGCUAGUAAUCGCGUAACAGCAUGACGCGGUGAAUACGUUCCCGGGCCUU